rnacentral:lncRNA from 1 species
CUCUAAUACCAUGAAAGUAUGGAUGAUUUUGAGAAGUUUUGGUAUUAGGCGACUAAAACGUUAUCACAUGGAAUGUUUAAAUAGAGUUGCUGGUUUACAUAUACAGCUGAUAGACGACAACAAUACAACGCAAAUAUUUCAACAGGAAUUUAAAUCCUAUAGAUAAUCCUCAGGUGUCACAGAUAAUAUCAACAGAACACAAUAUCUCAACAAGAAUUCAAAUCCUAGAGCUCAUCCUCAAGCGUAACAGAAGCUGGAGAAGAGGUCACAUUGAUCGAGUCCUUUGUGCAGAGCUUUCUGCAGGGUUGCAUUGAUGGAAGAUUGUUGCUGAAGAAAGGCUCCAGAAUUCAUUCCAACUAGAGAUGCCAACGAAUGGCCAUUGCAAUCUUUUCUAAUGUUGCCUUUGUCUCUCCUUCUCCUUCAUGCUGCCCAUAAAUCUUUAUUAUCGGUAAUAUCUAAAAACCAAAGAGUAACACCUAGUUCAAAUGAUGGUGACAACAACCAACAAUCGUUAUUAUAUUCUAAAAUAUUCUCAAAGUGGAAGAUUUGGGUAAAAAGUGGUUCUUGUUUAUUUGAUAAUUUUAAGUAAUGAUAAAAGAGAGGGUUUAUUCUUAC